rnacentral:tRNA from 1 species
GCCCAGAUAGCUCAGUUGGUAGAGCAACGGACUGAAAAUCCGUGUGUCGCUGGUUCGAUUCCAGCUCUGGGCACCA